rnacentral:rRNA from 1 species
GUGGAUCAGUGGCGAACGGGUGAGUAACACGUGAGCAACCUGCCCUGGACUCUGGGAUAAGCGCUGGAAACGGCGUCUAAUUCUGGAUAUGAGCUCCUAUCGCAUGGUGGGGGUUGGAAAGAUUUUUCGGUCUGGGAUGGGCUCGCGGCCUAUCAGCUUGUUGGUGAGGUAAUGGCUCACCAAGGCGUCGACGGGUAGCCGGCCUGAGAGGGUGACCGGCCACACUGGGACUGAGACACGGCCCAGACUCC